AUGAACGCUGGCGGCGUGCCUCAUACAUGCAAGUCGCGCGAACAGACGAGGAGCUUGCUCCUCUGACGUUAGCGGCGGACGGGUGAGUAACACGUGGAUAACCUACCUAUAAGACUGGGAUAACUUCGGGAAACCGGAGCUAAUACCGGAUAAUAUAUUGAACCGCAUGGUUCAAUAGUGAAAGACGGUUUUGCUGUCACUUAUAGAUGGAUCAGCGCCGCAUUAGCUAGUUGGUAAGGUAACGGCUUACCAAGGCAACGAUGCGUAGCCGACCUGAGAGGGUGAUCGGCCACACUGGAACUGAGACACGGUCCAGACUCCUACGGGAGGCAGCAGUAGGGAAUCUUCCGCAAUGGGCGAAAGCCUGACGGAGCAACGCCGCGUGAGUGAUGAAGGUCUUCGGAUCGUAAAACUCUGUUAUUAGGGAAGAACAAAUGUGUAAGUAACUAUGCACGUCUUGACGGUACCUAAUCAGAAAGCCACGGCUAACUACGUG
rnacentral:rRNA from 1 species